UGGGAAGUCAUCGGUGGUUAACACUGGCCUACCUUAGGUGAAUAGUAAAAAAAAACAUCAAUUUAAUAUCAAAAUCAGCUCCCAGUAUUCAGGCACAGCUGUUACAGUGUGGAUAGCCCAUGUGAUUGACUGACCAAGACUGUUUCCCUCCAUCCAUUUUCUAAACCACUUUGUCCAAUACAGGCCAAGGCUGUAUUAAUUCCUGAUUUCAAUGGAUUUCCUAUUCUGCUUUGUCACCCGGAUGUAUAUAAAAGUGCACCGUGUCCCCACGCUAUUCCGCAGCGAGGUCCGGCCCCGAGAGAACUGCGUACCUGUCGCACCUGCACCGACAGCACGGCAGCACUGGCACGGAUCUGCACGCUGUGGCCAUAAAUCAGAACUCGAACAAGUGUACAAUUGCGCUGCGGUUUGUGCGUUACUUGUAAAGGAUGCAUUUAAUUAG
rnacentral:lncRNA from 1 species